UUCCAAGAUGCUGUUCGACAAAACACCAUGAAAGAAGACGAAGAAGAGGUGGCGGAAGAAGUGUUGUUUUUAAUGUUCUGUACAUAUUCAGAUGUCUGUGUAGAUUCAUAUUCAGAGUUUUAUUAUUAUGCGAGUCACCUGGUGCACAACCUGCUGCAAAGCGACAGAUCAGGAGCAGUCGCUGAUGCUUUUAGAGGUCACGGAUGGUUAAUACGCCCUCUUAGCUCGUAAAGUAGUCACAAUAAACAUGGUCAUCUCUUCUGUUUUCAUUCAUAGUUUAUCUGUAUAUUUAAUGGACUGUUGCAGUAACCAAUACAGUAAUAUUUGCAAAAUUAUAGAUUAUCUAGAUUGUUAUUUUCUCUGAGCAUGUAUUGAUUUUGUCCUUUCUUUACAGAAACUUAUGCCAAAUCAAUAUAGCCACACUGUGUGUAGCUAUGAAACAGUGGGAGAAAACAAGUUCAAGGCAGCAAUAAAACUGAAGCUGUCCAGUGAAGAGGAGGCAAAGAGAUGGCUUGAUGAAUUCAAGAGGUCGUCAGGGUUCAUAUGGCGGACCUCCAAAACCUACCCUAAUGGAGGGCGCUACAACAAAUUUAGAGUAAUGACUUGAUUUCUGAUCGAAUCCUUUCAUGAGUUAUUCCUGCAAAAUCAUUUGUAAUGUUAUUCUUCUUCAAUUGAUCGUAAGACCAACUUUAUUUAUCUAAUCUUUUCCCCCCAAAAGCCCCGGGAGUUGCUGAAAAUGCUGACAAAAUGUCCGUUUAAGGUUUCCAUGAAAUGCUUUUAUUUUCGUUUCUGACAGUUUUAGUUUAUAUUUCACAGGUUGACUACAAGUGCAAGACGAUAAAGAAGAACGCAACUUGCCCAGCUACUCUGUUCCUGGUACUGAAACGGCAUCCAGAAUUUGGAGAAAGGAAAUCAAGAUCUGGAGAUCCUCACAUGAAGGAAGGACUCUUCCUUCAUAUUAACUUGCGCAAUGAGCACAACCAUCAUCUCUCAUGUGCUGGACUUGUGAGAAGGGACGUCUCUGGAGAAACGAUCGAAAAACUCAAAAAGCUGUUUGAAAGUGGCCACACUCCUUCAUCAGCUCUCAAAGAACUGAAGCACAAUUUGCAGGUGCAGGAAAAAGACAAUUACGUGAAUGCGGCCGCAGAUCGUUCCGUCUGCCCUGAUUUGCCAUUUUGUUACAGACUGUAUUACAAACUUUUCAAAAAAGCUUACAAUGCCGCUGCGGGAGAAGAGGUCUCCCGCGAGCUUGAACGAACCCUCAUCGAUUACAACAAGGAGCAAGGAGACGUUUGUGCCGGCAUGUGCAAAACCUCCGACAACCAGCUGGUGAUCGCUCUGUGCACUCCGCUGAUGAAGAGGGUCCACGCUCGGGUGAGAGAGAGUGCCGAGGUGAUGUUUGUGGACUCUCCAGGGAACUGUUCCCGCCUUAAUCACCACCUGUUCCUGCUCCUCACUCAUUCCUCAGUGGGUACUUUACCUUUGGGUGCAUUUAUCACGACAUCUGCAACCCAGGCCACUUUUUCUGCUGCCAUGCAGCUGCUACACACCGUCUUUCCACCUGAGAGGUUCUUCGGCCAUCCGGAUGGACCUCUUGUUGUUAUGACCGACGACUCCACUCUACUCAGGCAGGCUUUACAUGAGGCAUUUCCUAAAGCCACCCUGCUCUUUUCGGUACUACACCUUCUUCGGGCCAUGUGGAGAUGGCUCUGGAGCAGUCCAAAUGAAAUACCAAAGCACCACAGGUCCCGACUUCUGAACUCUUUCAGGAUCCUGUUGCGCGCCUCCACGCCAGUAGCUCUCAUGGAGGCCUACAGCAGACUGAUGGAAGAUCCCGUGUCCACCCAGUGUCCAAACUUUGUGCUGCAUCUCCAGGAAGUGUUUGAAAAGCGAGGGGAGUGGGCCAUCUGUCUGCAGGAACAGCUGUCUGCUGUUAGAAACACAGUCAACAGCUGUGAAGAAAGCGUCACGAGGAGGAUAAAAGACAAACUCUUCUAUCGACUCAAGUCACAUAAUCUGACACAGCUGGUGAAAUUUGUUGUCACAAAAAUGGAGGCUCAUUACAUCCACCGGCUGACAGAUGCUGCCAACAACCGGCUCCAAACCGCACAGAAGACGAUGAAGGGGAAGGAGCUGGACAAACAAACUAUUUUGCAGGAAGACGAGGACAGCUACACCGUGACGAGCGCGUCAAACACCGCCGUGUCCUACCACGUUGACAUGUCCAUCAGUUGCUGUACGUGCCCGGCGGGGGUAAUGGGGGGGCACUGCAAGCAUCAAAGUGCCGUCUCCAGGACAUUUGGACACGCCAUCGAAGACGGAUUAUUGCUGGGCUUACCGCCAGAGGCUCGCAAGUUGUAUUAUCAAAUCGCCACAGGAGUGGACAUGGAAGCCGAUGGUUCCGGAAGGUUUCCUGCCGUGGUGGUGAAACCAGCAGCUCAGGCUGGGAGAACAGAGCUUUGUACUGGUGAAGUCAUCUUUGUAGCUGAUGCAGCCGACAGCAUUGUUGAAACCUGGUGUGAGCAAACAGAGUCGUCGCUUAUAGAACCUGAAUCAGGUGAACUCAAACAAAGAUUGGAAAACGUGUUCCUGGACCUCUCGAAGAAACUGGACAACCCCGAGUUCGUGUAUUCUGUCACCUCAUUUGUGGAGUCUUACGAAAGCCUCCAGACAGACGAUCAGCUAGCAUCAGCGCUCUCCUCUUUCGGACAGCGUCUGUAA
ensembl:lncRNA